AGAUGGAAUAAUUUCUUCAUGGUUCUCCCUUACCUCUGUGAAAGGCUGUAACUGAAUGAGUGUAACUGCAACUUCCAGCAACUGCCCUGACAAAGCUAAUUGCUCCUCAAGAGAUAUCAUCCUGUGAUUUGCUGGGAGUGUGAAAAAGAACAACUGCUGACUUUGGUACAAGAUGCCUCCUGUCUAGCCUUGACUACAAGAAGGGCUGUUUGCUGUCAGGCACCAAAUGUCAGCUUGUCAGGCCAUUGCCACAACCAGUGCCCGCAGAGCUCAAGCUACACGAGUCACCAGAGGUGACAGCCAAAACCAGCUAAGCCAGAACCUGAGAUGCACCCUGUCUGUCAGGCAGCAGAGAGGAAUGAUUGUGGCUACCAUCC